rnacentral:rRNA from 1 species
GACGAACGCUGGCGGCGUGCUUAACACAUGCAAGUCGAACGGAAAGGCCCUGCUUUUGUGGGGUGCUCGAGUGGCGAACGGGUGAGUAACACGUGAGUAACCUGCCCUUGACUUUGGGAUAACUUCAGGAAACUGGGGCUAAUACCGGAUAGGAGCUCCUGCUGCAUGGUGGGGGUUGGAAAGUUUCGGCGGUUGGGGAUGGACUCGCGGCUUAUCAGCUUGUUGGUGGGGUAGUGGCUUACCAAGGCUUUGACGGGUAGCCGGCCUGAGAGGGUGACCGGCCACAUUGGGACUGAGAUACGGCCCAGACUCCUACGGGAAGCAGCAGUGGGGAAUAUUGCACAAUGGGCGGAAGCCUGAUGCAGCAACGCCGCGUGCGGGAUGACGGCCUUCGGGUUGUAAACCGCUUUCGCCUGUGACGAAGCGUGAGUGACGGUAAUGGGUAAAGAAGCACCGGCUAACUACGUG